rnacentral:rRNA from 1 species
CCUACGGGAGGCAGCAGUGAGGAAUCUUGGUCAAUGGACGAGAGUCUGAACCAGCAAAGUCGCGUGAAGGGUGACUGCCCUCUGGGCUGUAAACUCUUUUUUUAUGGGAAUAAAUCGUUGCACGUGUGGGUUCUCGUAUGUACCAUAUGUAACAGGAUAGGCAAACCCCGCGCCGGCAGCCGCGGUAAUCCGGUGGAUCCGAGCGUUAUCCGGAUUUAUUGGGUUUAAGGGGAGCGUAGGUGGGUUGUUAAGUCAGUUGUGAAAGUUUGCGGCUCAACCGGAAAAGUGCAUUUGAAACUGGGAGUCUUGAGUACAGUAGAGGUGAGCGGAAUUCGUGGUGUAGCGGUGAAAUGCUUAGAUAUCACGAAGAACUCCGAUUGCGAAGGCAGUUCACUGGACUGCAACUGACACUGAGGCUCGAAAGUGUGGGUAUCAAACAGGAUUAGAUACCCUGGUAGUC